rnacentral:lncRNA from 1 species
CAGCUCUCCAAAUGUAGUGUGGAAGUCAGAAUGCUCCUCGGCGGCCAUUAAGGAGAUUCUCAUAUCCUAGAACCAGAGGGCAGAAGGUGCUGAGAAUCGCUACCAAGAUCUGGUUUUAAAAGGGAGGUAGUUACAAAGAAGGCAGAAUAAGCAGCUCCAGCAAAUCCUAGGCUAAAGGAAUUAGAGGAAGGGGAAAAAUUUCACUCUGCCUUGGUUCCUCCAAAAUGUCUUACCUAACUGACCAUUCCUCUGUAGAGUCGUCUUCAGCACUGAUGCUGUCAGCCCGUAUUUUACAAAGAGCAUCAAGUCUACCAUGUGGACAAACCAUGAGCGUCACAUGGAAAAGCAUGUUGCAGAGAUGAGGAACUCCAGCUGAG